AUUGAACGCUGGCGGCAGGCUUAACACAUGCAAGUCGAACGAGUGGCGGACGGGUGAGUAAUGCUUGGGAAUCUGGAUUAUGGAGGGGGAUAACGACGGGAAACUGUCGCUAAUACCGCGUACCAUAGGAUGAGCCCAAGUGGGAUUAGGUAGUUGGUGGGGAAAUGGCCUACCAAGCCGACGAUCGCUAGCUGGUCUGAGAGGAUGAUCAGGCAUACCGGUACUGAGACACGGCCCGGACUCCUAUGGGAGGCAGCAGUGGGGAAUAUUGCGCAAUGGGGGCAACCUGAGGCAGCCAUGCCGCGUGAAUGAAGCAGGCCUUCGGGGUGUAAAGUUCUUUCGGUGACGAGGCGUUAAUCACAGAAGAAGCACCGGCUAACUCCGUGCCAGCAGCCGCGGUAAUUC
rnacentral:rRNA from 1 species